rnacentral:tRNA from 1 species
GCCGGAGUAGCUCAGGUGGUCCGAGCGCGGGACUCAUAAUCCCGAGGUCGGGGUUCAACUCCCUGCUCCGGCACCA